GGGUCUAGCUCAGUGGUAGAGUGUGUGCUUAGUAUGCACAAGGUCCUGAGUUCAAUUCCCAGUAUGUCCA
rnacentral:tRNA from 1 species